CAGACGUUCAUUUAGGUUAAAGUCGUUUAUCUUUCACUUACUUUUCAGAAAUGGACGGCAAGAUUAUUAUUGUAACAUUUUGUGUUCUGCUAGCAGCCAGUUUAAAGUCCGAAACGGAGGCACUUGCAAGUCACAACCCUGACUUUAAUGGAAAGAGAUCAUCCGUCUUGAAAUUAAGUAAUGUCCGGAGGACUAUUAGGAACAUGUGCGCUACCAUGAACGAUGUUUGCAAAAUGGAAAGAGACGAACUCCAGGAUGUUAAUCAGUAAAAGAUGUAAACCAAGGAUUGCUGAUUGAGUUAAGCCACAAGAGCAUUUAGAAAUAGAAAAUGGAUUGCUUAUAAUUUUAAGCCGGAAACGAAAAUUUUAAGUUUGCAGUUUGAAACCUCAAUGUAAAAUUAAUAAAACUGCGUGGCUGUA